GCCAUAUCACAUUGAAACACAGGUUCUCAUAAGAUCACCAAAGUUAAGCAAUGUUUAGCCUGUUCAGUAUCUAGAUGGGUGACCACUUGGAAAUACCAAGUGG